rnacentral:rRNA from 1 species
UGUAGUCUCAACGACGAUGCAUACAUGUCAACUAUGGGUGUUGGCUCUAACAAUUCACAUUGGUCUCAAACCAAUGACAUGCAUUUUGAAGACCAUGAGUUCGAGGUGGACGAGAAGGGUGAGGGCAUUGUCGACGCAUCGAAAGGAAGAGCGGGCAAUUACACCAACGCCGAUGACAUCUUACUAUGCAAUACUUGGUUGCAAGUGUCGAGGGAUCCAUCCGUUGGAGGUGAUCAAAGUAGAGAUGCUUAUUGGGGCGGAUGA